rnacentral:lncRNA from 1 species
UCUGACUGCACUAACCAUGCCUAGGAAGGAAAGGAGUUGUUGUUUUGUAAAGGAUUGAGGUUUGGAAGAUUAAUCGGACACGGUCAGCAGGGAGAGCACUUGUGUUUUUAUGAGAAUUAUGCCGAGAUAGGUAACAGAUGAGGAUGAAAUUUGGGCUUGACUGAAGUAAUGGGGGCUGUCUGUGAAGCCCUGUGGCAGUACAGCCCAGGUAAUUUGCUGAGCCUAAUGGGUGUCAGGGUCAGUCUAAGUGAAAGCAAAGAGAGGCUUGGAUGAAGGGUGCAAAGGAAUAGUAAAGAAAGCAUGUGUGAGACCCAGAACAAAAUAAUGGGUAGUAGAGUGAGGUAUUGAGGAUAGGAGAGUAUAUGGGUUUGGCACCACGGGGUGGAUAGGCAAAACAAUUUGGUUGAUAAGGCUAAGAUUCUGAACUAACUCGUAAGCCUUGUCCAGUUUUAGGACAGGUAAAAUAGGGGAAUGGUAAGGAGAGUUCAUAGGCUUUAAAAGGCCAUGCUGUAGCAGGCGAGUGAUAACAGGCUUUAAUCAUUUUAAAGAGUGCUGUGGGAUGGGAUCUUGGCAUUGAGCGGGGUAAGGGGGAUUAGGUUUUAAUGAGAUAGUAAGGGGUGCAUGAUCGGUCGCCAAGGAGGGAGGAGAGGUAUCUUAUACUUGUGGGUUAAGGUGGGGGGAUUCAAGAGGAGAAUACAAAGGAGGCUUUGGAUUGGGAAAAAGGGUGGCAAUGAGAUGCAGCUGUAGUCCAGGAAUAGUCAGGGAAGCAGAUACUUUAGUUAAAGUGUCUCAUCCUAAUAAGGGAACUGGGCAGGUGGGGAUAACUAAAAAGGAGUGCUUAAAAGAGUAUUGUCUAAGUUGGCACCAGAGUUGGGGAGUUUUAAGAGGUUUAGAAGCCUGGCCGUCAAUACCCACAACAGUUAUGGAGGCAAGGGAAACAGGCCCUUGAAAAGAAGGUAAUGUGGAGUGGGUAGCCUCCGUAUUGAUUAAGAAGGGGACGGACUUACCCUCCACUCUGAGAGUUACCCGAAGCUCGGCAUCUGUAAUUGUCUACAGGGCUUCCAAGGCGAUCGGGCAGCGUCAGUCUUCAGCCGCUAAGCUGAGAAGAUCUGGGAAGGAGUCAGAGAGCCUUGGGCCAGAGUUCCAGGGGCUUUGGAAGUGGCUACCAGGAGGUGUGUCUCUCGGCGCUUGGGCCUCUCUGGGAUGAAAGUUUUAAGUGCACACGAAGGCUUUGCCAAGCUCUCUCUUCCUGAUGCCAUGAUGACUAUGAACAGCAGCUCCGUGGCCUGGAUCCAGAGGGAGGACAAUGACACCGUGAUGUAUAAUGUGAACAAGAAAUAAAUCUUUACUGUUUGAGCCAUUGAGAC